GAAUCGCAUGGCCUUGCGCCGGCGAUGGUUCAUUCAAAUUUCUGCCCUAUCAACUUUCGAUGGUAGGAUAGCGGCCUACCAUGGUGGCAACGGGUAACGGGGAAUUAGGGUUCGAUUCCGGAGAGGGAGCCUGAGAAACGGCUACCACAUCCAAGGAAGGCAGCAGGCGCGCAAAUUACCCAAUCCCGAUACGGGGAGGUAGUGACAAUAAAUACUGAUACAGGGCUCUUUUGGGUCUUGUAAUUGGAAUGAGAACAAUUUAAAUCCCUUAACGAGGAACAAUUGGAGGGCAAGUCUGGUGCCAGCAGCCGCGGUAAUUCCAGCUCCAAUAGCGUAUAUUAAAGUUGUUGCAGUUAAAAAGCUCGUAGUUGAACCUUGGGCCCGUCCUGCCGGUCCGCCUCACCGCGAGUACUGGUCCGGAUGGGCCUUUCUUUCUGGGGAAUCCCAUGGCCUUCACUGGCUGUGGCGGGGAACCAGGACUUUUACUGUGAAAAAAUUAGAGUGUUCAAAGCAGGCCUUUGCUCGGAUACAUUAGCAUGGAAUAAUAGAAUAGGACGUGCGGUUCUAUUUUGUUGGUUUCUAGGACCGCCGUAAUGAUUAAUAGGGAUAGUCGGGGGCGUCAGUAUUCAGCUGUCAGAGGUGAAAUUCUUGGAUUUGCUGAAGACUAACUACUGCGAAAGCAUUCGCCAAGGAUGUUUUCAUUAAUCAGGGAACGAAAGUUAGGGGAUCGAAGACGAUCAGAUACCGUCGUAGUCUUAACCAUAAACUAUGCCGACUAGGGAUCGGGCGGGGUUUCUAUGAUGACCCGCUCGGCACCUUACGAGAAAUCAAAGUUUUUGGGUUCUGGGGGGAGUAUGGUCGCAAGGCUGAAACUUAAAGAAAUUGACGGAA
rnacentral:rRNA from 1 species